ensembl:misc_RNA Y_RNA Y RNA
GGCUGGUCUGAAGGUGGUGAGUUAUUUCAAGUGAUUGUUCACUGUCAGUUACAGAUUGAACUUGUUCUACUCUUUCCCCUUGUCUUCCUACUGCACUUGACUAGUCAUAA